UAAAAUUCCACAAACCCUAGCCCAUUCCGUAUUCCCUCACAAGCUAGUAUCCACCACCCUUCUCUCUUCCCAAUCCAAACCCACGCCGCUACCCUCUCCUCCUUUCUCUAUUUCGAGCCCAGAUCGGAGUGCCACGGCCAGUACCGCCGUCACCUUGACCACCGAGCUCAGAUUCUUCCCACCAAUAGCAACGUUCCAGCCAAACGCAGGUGUACAGUGUAGAAACCCUACCAACCCCACACAGAGGACCCAUAAUCGCGACCAGAACUUAUACGAAAGCCAUGAGUAUGUCUGUCUCUUAACUUGAAUCUGGCCAUUCAUGGAGCUCUUAGCGUUUCAGGCCCAUCGCUGCAAUUCUUGCGACGCGGUGGUCGACGUCGGAGCCGUGUACGACCCGCUUCGGCACCGUUGCGACCAUCACCAAAGGUGUUUCAACCAAGUUUUCGGCCAUGGCUUCACCACUAAGCUCAGUAGCGCUGGUCUUGUCUACAAGGUAAAAAAAAGAAAUUCAGAAGAAAGCUCUACUCAAUGAACUACUGAUAUUUCUGAGGUUCAACACUCUAUCAAGUUACAGAUCGUUGCUUGUCUUUUGAGUUCCAGUUUGCUGAUGGGUGGCAGUCUCAGUUUACUGCUGGAAUUUGGGUUAGUUAACUGCUUUAUCACAACUUUACAAGCCAUGAGGGGAUACCGCAAUUAACCCUCUAUUUGAUAAGAACUAGAAGAAUAGCUAGCUUCUUAAUUUUAUUUGAUAAGAAACUCGAAAGAAUGAAAGCUAGUAUUCUGUUUUUCCAUGAACGACUUGAUGCCUAUAAUUCAGAACUGUGAAAACAUAACAGACACUAAUAUCUUUGAGGGCAGAAGCAGAACUGAACUGAUCUUUGAAAGGAAAUAGAAGAGUUGAUAUAUAUAGGUGGUGAUAUAUGGCAGGGACGUAUGUGAUGAAUUAUUUUGCCUUUUGCAUGGUUGCUUAAAUUAUGAUUUUCUCCUUUUCCCAAUGCAACUACUUUUUUUCUUACUAGUUACUAUAUAUGAAUCCUUUUUCUUAUGCAAAAGGUUAUUGAUGACCCGGGUUUAUAUGAUGUUUUUAUGGUUUUCCCUUGUAGGUUUUGAGUCUUUUUCUUGUGUCUCAUGUAGUGUUUCAUGCAUUCUCAUGCAUUUUUAUUCUUUUCUUUAGUCUUUAUUUUGUUUUGAUAAUUUGGUAGUUUUAUAGGUAGUUUUCUUGCAUUUUAAGUAAAGUUUAGGACUUGCAUGGUUUUGUUGUGUUUUAUGAAGGACCUCUUGUGCUAAUGAGCUCUUGGAGCUUCUAGAAUCUUCCUUGACUUGUUGGUUAGGUUUGGAGAGCAGAAACUGAAGGAGAAAGAAGGCCAAGAAGCAUGGAAUUGAUGGAGAACUUAAAGAGGAUUGAAAAGAGGAGUUUCAGAAGCCAAAAAGUCCUUUUCAGGCGAGCUUAAGCGCUUAGGCGCUGGGAAUGGGCGCCUAGGCGCCAAUUAGGUCCAGAGGCAUGUUUUUCAACAUGCAAUUGGCGCUCAGGCGCUCUGAAUUGGCGCCUGAGCGCCCAGAACAGCCCAGCCUCGUUUAUUUUGCCUAUAAAUAGGAUUUUAGUCAUUUUCUUUUGAAAUCUUGGAUACUUUGUAAAAUUCAGAGGUAGAGGAACAUCUAGGGGAGUGAGAGAGGGCUUCCAAGCUUGUGUUCAAGGUUCUUAGCCAAGCCAUGCUUGGUUAAUCUCUCUUCUUUUACUUUGGUUUUCUUGUAAGACUUUUCCUUUUAAGUUAUAAUCUUAAGUUCUUUCCCACAUGUUCUUCUUCUUUCCUUGAAUCCCAUAUCCAUGCUUUAUGUUUCAAGUUAGAACAUGUGCUAGCUUUAUGCUUUUCUAUAAUAGAACGGAAGUUUGUUAUAGAUUAGGGACUUGUUGUGGGAUUACCCCUUCUUUGCUUGCCUCUAGGAAUAGAGGAAGGGUUGGGGUUUGUUGGCCUGAAUUUACAUGAUCUAAAACCUCAUAUAAAUGACUAAGUACACAAGAAAUUGGGCUUAGCUUUUAGUAUGGGAGAAUUGCUUAUGUGAGGAAUCAAUAAGUGAGUAACUAAGCUAUAACAUCAAGGAGAGAUUCAUGAGAACAUGUGCUUAGAAUGAUGUGCUUGAAUUGAUUAGUUGAGCAAGAACCCAAAGUAAAUCACUCUUUCUUCUCAUUCUCUGUUUCAUUUCUGAAUUUGUAUUUUCUUUUUCCUUAUUACUACUUCGACAUAUGUUUGCCUCAAUAUAACAAACCUUCGGACUCAAAGCUUGAACCGAAUCUAUUCACUCACAAUCCCUGUGGUUCGAUAUUUAAAACCGGGUGGAUUCCGUACACUUGCGGAUUUACCAACAGUUAUCUAAGUGGAUAUGAAGAAUUGCAAGAGGACUAGGAUGGACUUUGAUUAAGCUACUUUAGGAUGUAUUUUUGUCAUUGUCUUGCUUGGUACUUUAAGAUUUAAUCAAAUUAAUUUUCUGUUGAUUAUUCUAUGUAUGUCUUUGGAUUAAGUUUUAAACUCAUUUUAAGUGCUACUAUUACAGAACAUGUGAUGUUAUGAUUGAUCAACUUAGUAUAUAAUUCAUGAAUUAUUUCUUGAUUAGCUCUCUAUUGUGUGCAACUCUUUUCAGUACUGGAUGUUCCUUUCUCUUGUGUUAUAUUUUGAACCUUUUCUUAUACUAUUUGCUGUGGAGAAAUUGUGACUGAUAGAUUUUUCUACUCCUCUAACUUGAAUUUCAUAAUUAUUUUUAUCUUUUAGUUACUGUAAAGAAGCAAGGGAACUGUUAUAUAAAAAGGAAGGGAACUGCUGUUACUCAAAGUUGGGAUGGUGACUAUGGUAACCGAUAGUGAAAUGUUUCUCUUGAAGCUAGUUGAUCCACAUGUGGGAAUUGCAGAGGACUUGGAUAAGAGCAUGAAGGAGAUUGGCGACCUGAAAAAACCCUUUUAGAAAUUUCAUGGUUCUAAGUAUGCCUAUUAAGUAAUUUUUGUCUGUCCAUUUGAUCAUGUUAUCAGAUCAUGUAUAUGGGAGAGGAACUAGAAUUCAAUCUUUAGUCCAUUCUAGUUUUUGUCAUGUAUACAUAACAAUCUUCUAAUCUUUAUGAAGAAUUAAUAUAUUUUGCCAA